GUCUGACGGAGCAACGCCGCGUGAACGAUGAAGGCCUUCGGGUCGUAAAGUUCUGUUGUUAGGGAAGAACAAGUACCGGAGUAACUGCCGGUACCUUGACGGUACCUAACCAGAAAGCCACGGCUAACUACGUG
rnacentral:rRNA from 1 species